AAAGACUUAGGAUAAUUAAACCAAAGGCCUUCAAAGCCUUUAACAGAAGUUAAAAUCUUCUAGCCUUUG
rnacentral:tRNA from 1 species